GACGAACGCUGGCGGCGUGCCUAAUACAUGCAAGUCGAACGGGGAAAGCUUUCGGGUGAGUACUAGUGGCGCACGGGUGAGUAACGCGUGGAUAAUCUGCCUUAGAGUGGGGGAUAACUAGUCGAAAGAUUAGCUAAUACCGCAUAAGACCACAAGAACUGCGGUUCAAGGGGUCAAAGGUUUUUCGCUCUAAGAUGAGUCCGCGUAAGAUUAGCUAGUUGGUAGGGUAACGGCCUACCAAGGCGACGAUCUUUAACUGGUCUGAGAGGAUGAUCAGUCACACUGGAACUGAGACACGGUCCAGACUCCUACGGGAGGCAGCAGUAGGGAAUAUUGCACAAUGGAGGAAACUCUGAUGCAGCGACGCCGCGUGAGUGAUGAAGGCCUUCGGGUCGUAAAGCUCUGUCGCAGGGGAAUAACACAAUGAAUGUACCCUGUAAGAAAGGAUCGGCUAACUUCGUGCCAGCCGCCGCAGUAAUAC
rnacentral:rRNA from 1 species